UACGUAGGGGGCUAGCGUUGUCCGGAAUCAUUGGGCGUAAAGAGCGUGUAGGCGGCUCGGUAAGUCCGCUGUGAAAGUCCAGGGCUCAACCCUGGAAUGCCGGUGGAAACUGUCGAGCUAGAGUCCGGAAGAGGAGAGUGGAAUUCCUGGUGUAGCGGUGAAAUGCGCAGAUAUCAGGAAGAACACCCGUGGCUAAGGCGGCUCUCUAGUACGGUACUGACGCUGAGACGCGAAAGCGUGGGGAGCGAACAGG
rnacentral:rRNA from 1 species